GACGAACGCUGGCGGCGUGCUUAACACAUGCAAGUCGAACGGAAAGGCCCUGCUUGCAGGGUACUCGAGUGGCGAACGGGUGAGUAACACGUGGGUGAUCUGCCCUGCACUUCGGGAUAAGCCUGGGAAACUGGGUCUAAUACCGGAUAGGAGCCAUUUUUAGUGUGAUGGUUGGAAUGUUUUUUCGGUGUAGGAUGAGCUCGCGGCCUAUCAGCUUGUUGGUGGGGUAAUGGCCUACCAAGGCGGCGACGGGUAGCCGGCCUGAGAGGGUGGACGGCCACAUUGGGACUGAGAUACGGCCCAGACUCCUACGGGAGGCAGCAGUGGGGAAUAUUGCACAAUGGGCGCAAGCCUGAUGCAGCGACGCCGCGUGGGGGAUGACGGCCUUCGGGUUGUAAACUCCUUUCGCUAGGGACGAAGCUUUUUGUGACGGUACCUAGAUAAGAAGCACCGGCUAACUACGUG
rnacentral:rRNA from 1 species